CAGUCGCCGCGGGAAUACGUAGGUGGCAAGCGUUGUCCGGAAUUAUUGGGCGUAAAGGGCUCGCAGGCGGUUUCUUAAGUCUGAUGUGAAAGCCCCCGGCUCAACCGGGGAGGGUCAUUGGAAACUGGGAAACUUGAGUGCAGAAGAGGAGAGUGGAAUUCCACGUGUAGCGGUGAAAUGCGUAGAGAUGUGGAGGAACACCAGUGGCGAAGGCGACUCUCUGGUCUGUAACUGACGCUGAGGAGCGAAAGCGUGUGGAGCGAACAGGAUUAGAUACCCCCGUAGUCCCUGUCUCUUAUAC
rnacentral:rRNA from 1 species